UACAUACGGAUCGUCUACACCCUGAUUCCGCAAUGCUUCCAUGACUGCUGAGGUUUCGACUGAAUCAAACGCUUUCUCGUAAUCAAUGAAAGCUAUAUAUAAAGCCGGACGGUGACGUACUCUUGUCCCUGCGCCUACGUACUCGUGUCUGCGGUGUGACGUCGCUCGUGGUGACUUCGAGAAUUAUUCAAGGCAACUUCUGUUAUUUGUGUGACUGUUGCUUGAAUUGAUGAAUUGAAGCUUAGAGAAAUAAUAAAACAUGCAAACGAAA